GCCUAAAACUCAUGUUUGAAGCACACAUAUAGUGGAAUACCAAGGUGCCGAGAUAAGGAUCUUUUCUGAAUGUCACAAUUUUGGUGGCAUAACCUGCAACAGCAUGUUUGUUGUUACAGCUGUUUCUACUUCUAUUUAGAAGACAACCCAGCUGAGGGAUAGUUAGAGUUUUAUUUCUCAUAGAGUUUCAGAGACAUGAAGAGUGUGAAGUGACGUGCCGUGUAUGUACCAGAUCUGCUUGAUGAAAGUCAAGUGCCCUACUAAAUUCAUCACUCAUAUGAUAAAGCAUCAGGAAAUUUAUCUCAUCAUGUGGAGUAAUGCUGUUGGUUGCUGUGAAUUCC